rnacentral:rRNA from 1 species
ACGUAUGGGGCAAGCGUUGUUCGGAAUUAUUGGGCGUAAAGGGCGUCUAGGCGGGGGAUUAAGUUAGAUGUGAAAGCUAUGGGCUCAACCCAUAAACUGCAUCUAAGACUGGUUCUCUUGAGUCCGGGAGAGGAAAGCGGAAUUCCAGGUGUAGCGGUGAAAUGCGUAGAGAUCUGGAGGAACACCAGUGGCGAAGGCGACCUACUGGACUAGAACUGACGCUGAAGCGCGAAAGUGUGGGGAGCAAACAG